rnacentral:rRNA from 1 species
AUGGGGCCUCCUUCUCAAGAACCAAACCCAACAAAAGACGUGUGCGAUCUAGCUCGUACCGCGGAGAAGCCAAGUUGCAACAGGCGCCCUCUGGCGUUCAGCUCUCAGGAGACGCCUCCAGCUGCCGACUUCACCGAGCCUCAGAUAGGCGAGGUGCGAAAUAUUAUCAGCCCCAACACACUCAAGAAGGCGGUCUGUGAGCAGAACUCGGUCCCAUUACAGGAGAAGAAGAAGGCACGCAAAAGAAAGACUAAGAAGGGUGCGAGCCAGCCGGCACCGAGUACGAUCCGUGCUCAGGACGGGCCACCUUCACCGCAGGAUAUCUCGAGGAGGGUGCAUGUGGCGGGUAGGGCGAUGCUACCACCAAAUAUGCUCAAUGCUGCAACCGGUGCUAUGUGGAGUCUGCACGACAGUGUUCUUUCUUUGGAGAAGCGGCAUCUCAGAGAGAAGGAUGUGGCAUACCCGGUUUUCGUGGCCAAGGUGCCAGAGGGCAAGGGCUUUGUGGAUGGCGACAUCGGGGGUACGAUCGUCCUGCGGUUUGAUGACAUCUUUGCUAUGUUUAACCUUCAUCCGCUGCACUACACCUUCGUUCGGCUAUUUUCGCUGAGUAUGGAGAUGCGGAUCAUUCGCGACAAGACCCCGGACAUCGUGAUAGUCGACCCCUUCUACAUGUGUGCCAAGAUCUUGGGUAGCGCUGGGGACCGGCAAGUCGCGAGUUCUUACCUCGAAGGCGUCAUUCUGGCAAACCAAGAUAAGGAUAACUUCCUCGUGCCUUACUUUCCUGAGUAA